rnacentral:rRNA from 1 species
UACGGGGGGAGCAAGCGUUGUUCGGAUUUACUGGGCGUAAAGGGCGCGUAGGCGGUCAGCACAAGUCAGUUGUGAAAUCUCCGGGCUUAACUCGGAAAGGUCAACUGAUACUGUGCGACUAGAGUGCGGAAGGGGCAACUGGAAUUCUCGGUGUAGCGGUGAAAUGCGUAGAUAUCGAGAGGAGCACCUGCGGCGAAGGCGGGUUGCUGGGCCGACACUGACGCUGAUGCGCGAAAGCGUGGGGAGCAAACAGG